rnacentral:rRNA from 1 species
UCCGGCGGGUGCAAGCGUUAUCCGGAAUCACUGGGUUUAAAGGGUGCGUAGGCGGCUUGAUAAGUCAGGGGUGAAAGCCCGCAGCUUAACUGCGGAACUGCCUUUGAUACUGUCGAGCUUGAAAGAGGUUGAGGUCAGCGGAACGUGACAUGUAGCGGUGAAAUGCAUAGAUAUGUCACAGAACACCGAUUGCGAAGGCAGCUGGCUGGACCUACUUUGACGCUGAGGCACGAAAGCGUGGGGAGAGAACAGG